GCAUUGUAAUUUGUAGAAGGAUGCUUAGGGUGAAACGCCAGUCUAAGUUCCUUGGAACAGGACGUCAUAGAGGGUGAGAAUCCCGUAUGUGACUGGAAAUGUUAACCUAUGUAAAGCUCCUUCGACGAGUCGAGUUGUUUGGGAAUGCAGCUCUAAAUGGGAGGUAAAUUUCUUCUAAAGCUAAAUAUUGGCGAGAGACCGAUAGCGCACAAGUAGAGUGAUCGAAAGAUGAAAAGCACUUUGGAAAGAGAGUUAAAAAGCACGUGAAAUUGUUGAAAGGGAAGCGCUUGCAAUCAGACUUGUUUAAACUGUUCGGCCGGUCUUCUGACCGGUUUACUCAGUUUGGACAGGCCAGCAUCAGUUUCGGCGGCCGGAUAAAGGCUCUGGGAAUGUGGCCUUCACUUCGGUGAAGG
rnacentral:rRNA from 1 species